GAGAAGACACUGUAAUUGAACUCCAAGG
rnacentral:piRNA from 1 species